AUUGAACGCUGGCGGCAGGCUUAACACAUGCAAGUCGAGCGGAGAUGAGGUGCUUGCACCUUAUCUUAGCGGCGGACGGGUGAGUAAUGCUUAGGAAUCUGCCUAUUAGUGGGGGACAACAUUCCGAAAGGAAUGCUAAUACCGCAUACGUCCUACGGGAGAAAGCAGGGGAUCUUCGGACCUUGCGCUAAUAGAUGAGCCUAAGUCGGAUUAGCUAGUUGGUGGGGUAAAGGCCUACCAAGGCGACGAUCUGUAGCGGGUCUGAGAGGAUGAUCCGCCACACUGGGACUGAGACACGGCCCAGACUCCUACGGGAGGUAGCAGUGGGGAAUAUUGGACAAUGGGCGGAAGCCUGACCCAGCCAUGCCGCGUGUGUGAAGAAGGCCUUUUGGUUGUAAAGCACUUUAAGCGAGGAGGAGGCUCCUUUAGUUAAUACCUAAAGUGAGUGGACGUUACUCGCAGAAUAAGCACCGGCUAACUCUGUGCCAGCCGCCGCCGUAACAC
rnacentral:rRNA from 1 species